rnacentral:misc_RNA from 1 species
UUGAGUGCCAACACAAUGGCUCCAAUAUCAGUCGAAUCUCUCUAUGAUGAUGUGGACUUCAGGAGUACUAUAACACGUGAGAAGUUUGAAGAGCUAUGUGAAGAUUUGUGGGAUAGAUCUCUUAUACCUCUAAAGGAAGUGCUUAAUCAUUCAGGGCUGAAGACGGAUGAAAUAUAUGCAGUAGAGCUUAUAGGAGGGGCUACCAGAGUGCCCAAGUUGCAGUCCAAGAUCCAGGAAUUUCUUGGAAGGAAUGAGCUGGACAAACAUCUGGAUGCUGAUGAGGCUAUAGUUCUUGGUGCAGCUCUGCAUGCUGCAAAUAUAAGUGAUGGGAUCAAGUUGAAUCGCAAGCUAGGAGUGGUUGAUGGCUCUUCCUAUGGAUUUGUGGUUGAGUUAGAUGGGCCUGAUCUUCUGAAAGAUGACAGCACUAGGCAGUUACUCAUGCCGAGGAUGAAAAAACUCCCCAGCAAGAUGUUCAGAUCCAUUAUCCAUGACAAAGAUUUUGAAGUUUUGCUUGCAUAUGAGACUGAAGAUUUUUUACCACCUGGCACUAUCUCUCCCAUAUUUGCUCAGUAUGCUGUUUCUGGUGUGACAGAUGCUAGUGAGAAAUAUUCAGCUCGAAAUUUGUCCUCUCCCAUCAAGACAAAUCUGCACUUUUCUCUGAGUAGAAGUGGAAUUCUUUCUCUUGAUCGAGCAGAUGCUGUUAUUGAAAUAUCAGAAUGGGUGGAAGUUCCUAAAAAGAAUCUGACAAUAGAAAAUACAACUGCUACCUCUCCCAAUGUAUCCAUUCAAUCUGGGGCUAACAAUGUUAAGGAUGAAAGCAUUGAAAACCUUCAUUCUGAUGGUGGGGUUGGCAAUGCAUCAAACUCUAAUGUUGAAGAACCAAGUGCCAUUGAGCUGGGUACAGAAAAAAAGCUGAAAAAGAGGACAUUUAGGGUUCCACUUGAGAUUGUUGAGAAGACAGCAGGGCCUGGAAUGCCUCUAUCUGAAGAAUCCUUAUCUGAAGCCAAAAGGAAAUUAGAAGCAUUAGACAAAAAGGAUGCUGAGCGAAGGAGGACUGCUGAGCUGAAAAAUAACUUGGAAGGAUAUAUAUAUUCUACUAAGGAAAAGCUUGAAAUCUCUGAGGAGUUUCAGAAAAUAUCUUCCCAUGAAGAACGUAAAUCUUUCAUUGAAAAGCUUGAUGA